AAUGAAUACUAAUAUUAUAAAUGCGAAAGUGUGUCUUGUUUUGGUGGUUGGUUUCUCCUUCAGUCACGUCGCAACAUAGCAACGGAUUGAUGUG